AUGAGCGACAAUCUCAUGGACAAAGUUAACGCCCUGGGCGAGCGCCUCAAGAUCAGCGGCGCGGAAGUCAGCCGCAAGAUGUCCACCGGCGUCACUAGCAUGAGUUUCAAGAUGAAGGAGUUCUUCCAAGGCCAGAACAUGGCCGACAAGAUUGUUGACGAGGCCACCUUGGAGACCAUGGACGGCCCUGAUUGGGCUACCAAUCUUGAGAUAUGCGAUAUGGCCAACACCGAGAGGGUCAACAGCGUCGAGCUCAUCCGCGCCAUCAAGAGGCGAAUCAUGCUCAAGAGCCCGAGGGUGCAGUAUCUGGCUCUUGUCCUCCUCGAGACCAUUGUCAAGAACUGCGAGAAGGCUUUCUCCGAGAUUGCUGCGGAGCGGGUCCUUGAUGAAAUGAGCUUAAGAUCUAGGGGAAUUCGCUUCCCUGGCCGCGAUGAUGAGAGCCUUGCGCCAAUAUUUACUCCUCCCCGUUCAGUACCUGCAGCUGAACCAUAUUCUGAUGCAGCACAGGAAGGGUAUCAAGAAAUUCCAGAUGAAAGUUUUGCUCCAGUCCGUGCUGCCCCUUCUGUACAAGUCGACGAGGCUUUUGAGGUGGCUCGCAAUAGCGUUGAACUUCUGUCCACAGUGCUAUCAUCAUCUCCACAAAAAGAGGCUCUAGAGCAUUUUUUACAUUUUAAUCUUAAUAGUAAAUACAGCAACAAUGGCCCUGGCCAAUCAACCUGUUAUCCCUUAUUACCUCAUCACAGUCUCGGUGCAGAGCAGUAUCUGAAAGAUGACUUGACUACCACCCUGGUCCAGCAAUGCCAACAGUGUCAAUACACAAUCCAGAGAAUCGUCGAGACUGCAGGUGAUAACGAGGCUCAACUCUUCGAGGCACUGAGCAUCCACGAUGAACUCCAGAAAGUUCUGUCCAAGUACGAAGACCUCAAGGAGCCCAUCGUCGCAGAGCCUGAGCCAGAACCAGCAAUGAUUCCAGUCACGGUGGAGCCUGAGGAAUCCCCACGCGCUGUUGGCAAAGACACCCCCGCAAGGAAAUCAGCUGGGUCCGGUGGUCGCUCUAGUGGCGGGGAUGACUUGCUUCAGGAUCUCGACGACAUGAUCUUCGGUAAGAAAGCCGGCACCUCCUCCCAGCAGGAAAGGACUCCCCGGAAGGAGAAGAAGGACGAUUUCAUCGGCUUGUGA
rnacentral:rRNA from 1 species